CUGGCUCAGGAUGAACGCUAGCGGCAGGCUUAACACAUGCAAGUCGAGGGGCAUCGGGAGUAGCAAUACUGCCGGCGACCGGCGCAAGGGUGCGUAACGCAUGAGCAACAUGCCCGUAUCAGGGGGAUAAUCCAUGGAAACGUGGUCUAAAUACCCCAUAGUAAUUAUGUAAGGCAUCUUAUAUAAUUUAAAGCUUUGGUGGAUACGGAUUGGCUCGCGUGACAUUAGCUAGAUGGUAAGGUAACGGCUUACCAUGGCUACGAUGUCUAGGGGUUCUGAGAGGAAGGUCCCCCCACACUGGAACUGAGACACGGUCCAGACUCCUACGGGAGGCAGCAGUGAGGAAUAUUGGACAAUGGAUGGAAAUCUGAUCCAGCCAUGCCGCGUGCAAGGAAGACCGGCCCUAUGGGUUGUAAACUGCUUUUGUAUGGGAGCAAUAAGGGCUACGCGUAGUCCGAUGAGAGUACCAUACGAAUAAGCACCGGCUAACUCCGUGCCAGCAGCCGC
rnacentral:rRNA from 1 species